GUUAAUUUAGCAAGAUUCUUGUUUUAGAAUACAACACACUCCCCCUAGUGUGAGGUAAAUCACCAAAAUUUUUUUAGAAACAAAUGAUUUAAAAUAAUACUAGGACUCAAAUUAUUGCUUACCCAGAACAGACAUUUUCUGGCUCUUUCCUUUCCUAAUACGAACUCAUUUGUUCACUUACACGACAAUUAGAUGUACAAUUCCUAAUAGUUGUAUUCUGAUCCCAGCAACAGUAGGGAUUAAAAUUAAUAUUUAAUUAUAAUAUACAUUAAAACAUUUUGCAUUAUUAAACGGUUUAAAACAUAUUGUACAAACAAUAUCCCGACUUUUUGAAAUUUGUAUAAUA